AUGGGCUCUACAGGAUCCAGGUCCAGGCUGAGUCAGGUGGCCCCAUGUCACAGUCAGCCAGAGGGAGACCUGGACCAGCAGGCCAGUCAUCCCACCUCACAAUGGACCAUCUCUGCUGUGCCAACCCCACUGGGGCCACAACAUGGGCCCCUAGGACAUAGUAGGACUAUCCAGCUGCCCCCACUGAAGCUGGAAAACUCUGCAAGCUUCCCCCCACUAUCUACAGAAUCAUCAUAUGUAGCAAGCAGCCUCCCACAGAGUCAAAGCAACAUUUGGGGACCAAGCAUCAUUCAUUCUCAUCCACCACGAAGACUACAGGCAUUGCAACCGCUGGCCCCUCUUAGUGCAGGUCUCAAGGUUACUGCCAAUCACAUGGCCAUGGGCAUAGACUGGAGAGAUGGGGGUGUCCUCCACUUUUCUACCCCCAGCCAGGGUGCACACGAUGGCACCGGCCGCCAUCCGCAGGGAGGACUCCUGGAGGCACAGAUGGUCCUCAGUCAACAGGCCCAGCGAAGAAGGAGAGCCCACCAGAGACGAGUCCGAGAGCAGCGGGUCCACGAGAGGACAAUCUACAUAGAUAAUGUUGAAGCACCAAGCAGCAAAGGGAUACAGAGACUGCAUCUGCUAAACAGGCCAACCCAAAGGGACAUAUUUUGGGAUGAGAUGACAGGAGAGAGUCUCGACCUCAAGGAGAUCCUCCAACCAAGCCCCCUUCCCCUGGAGCAGGGAGAGAGACAGCAGUCCCAGCCUGGACCACCACAGUGCCUGUGUAGGGAUGAAGAGCUGAUCAACAGAGACUUGGCAUGGGGAGGCCUCAGGAGUCCUCACCGGAAAACCAAUUCUCUCACAGACAGAGUGGAAGGGGAGACAGAUGGUGGACUGACCAUGAGGAAAACCUUACCUUCGAUGCUGGACUGGAAGACAGAGAAACAAAGAGAUACAAUUCCCAAACACUUGAGCUCUUUCAGGGAUAGUGAGAGGGCUAGUAGGAGGCCUCUGAGAGGCUGGCAGAGAGAGGGCAUUAGAGGUCUAUGUCAUGGGGAGAGAGGGAUUUGGGAACCUGACCUGGAGUAG
rnacentral:lncRNA from 1 species